UUAUAACAUCCUCAUCUUUUUAAUCUGUCGGCUGAUAACGAUAAACUGAACGACUCAACUUAAGAGCAUAGCAACUCCGUCGAUGACUCAGUCCAUGGGUUGAUACCAAAUAAUCAACCAUCUCUCUCUUCUCAGCCGGCUUU
rfam:Caedibacter sp. 37-49 SCNpilot_expt_500_p_scaffold_1187, whole genome shotgun sequence.